AGACCCGAAACCCGGUGAUCUAGCCAUGGGCAGGUUGAAGGUUGGGUAACACUAACUGGAGGACCGAACCGACUAAUGUUGAAAAAUUAGCGGAUGACCUGUGGCUGGGGGUGAAAGGCCAAUCAAACCGGGAGAUAGCUGGUUCUCCCCGAAAGCUAUUUAGGUAGCGCCUCGUGAAUUCAUCUCCGGGGGUAGAGCACUGUUUCGGCUAGGGGGCCAUCCCGGCUUACCAACCCGAUGCAAACUGCGAAUACCGGAGAAUGUUAUCACGGGAGACACACGGCGGGUGCUAACGUCCGUCGUGAAGAGGGAAACAACCCAGACCGCCAGCUAAGGUCCCAAAGUCAUGGUUAAGUGGGAAACGAUGUGGGAAGGCCCAGACAGCCAGGAUGUUGGCUUAGAAGCAGCCAUCAUUUAAAGAAAGCGUAAUAGCUCACUGGUCGAGUCGGCCUGCGCGGAAGAUGUAACGGGGCUAAACCAUGCACCGAAGCUGCGGCAGCGACACUGUGUGUUGUUGGGUAGGGGAGCGUUCUGUAAGCCUGCGAAGGUGGCCUGUGAGGGUUGCUGGAGGUAUCAGAAGUGCGAAUGCUGACAUAAGUAACGAUAAAGCGGGUGAAAAGCCCGCUCGCCGGAAGACCAAGGGUUCCUGUCCAACGUUAAUCGGGGCAGGGUGAGUCGACCCCUAAGGCGAGGCCGAAAGGCGUAGUCGAUGGGAAACGGGUUAAUAUUCCCGUACUUGGUGUUACUGCGAAGGGGGGACGGAGAAGGCUAUGUUGGCCGGGCGACGGUUGUCCCGGUUUAAGCGUGUAGGUGUGUGUUCCAGGUAAAUCCGGUUCACUUUAACACUGAGGCGUGACGACGAGGCACUACGGUGCUGAAGCAACAAAUGCCCUGCUUCCAGGAAAAGCCUCUAAGCAUCAGGUAACAUCAAAUCGUACCCCAAACCGACACAGGUGGUCAGGUAGAGAAUACCAAGGCGCUUGAGAGAACUCGGGUGAAGGAACUAGGCAAAAUGGUGCCGUAACUUCGGGAGAAGGCACGCUGACACGUAGGUGAAGUGAUUUACUCAUGGAGCUGAAGUCAGUCGAAGAUACCAGCUGGCUGCAACUGUUUAUUAAAAACACAGCACUGUGCAAACACGAAAGUGGACGUAUACGGUGUGACGCCUGCCCGGUGCCGGAAGGUUAAUUGAUGGGGUCAGCGCAAGCGAAGCUCCUGAUCGAAGCCCCGGUAAACGGCGGCCGUAACUAUAACGGUCCUAAGGUAGCGAAAUUCCUUGUCGGGUAAGUUCCGACCUGCACGAAUGGCGUAAUGAUGGCCAGGCUGUCUCCACCCGAGACUCAGUGAAAUUGAACUCGCUGUGAAGAUGCAGUGUACCCGCGGCAAGACGGAAAGACCCCGUGAACCUUUACUAUAGCUUGACACUGAACAUUGAGCCUUGAUGUGUAGGAUAGGUGGGAGGCUUUGAAGUGUGGACGCCAGUCUGCAUGGAGCCGACCUUGAAAUACCACCCUUUAAUGUUUGAUGUUCUAACGUGGACCCGUUACCCGGGUUGCGGACAGUGUCUGGUGGGUAGUUUGACUGGGGCGGUCUCCUCC
rnacentral:rRNA from 3 species